AAUGAGCAAGUUUCAAGAAGAAAGAUUUACAGCUAAAAAGUUGCACAUAUCAAAAUGAUAAAACAUUUUCACUCUCAAACUACCUCCUCAUGAAAACCAACUGCUAGAUCUUGAGUUGAGGAUUAUUAAAAGCCCAAGCACAUAAAAAAUGCACGUAUCUGCAAUUGCAUGCAGGUCCACGAUCAAAGCUGCCCCUGUUCCAAAUGAACAGGUUAAAGUCAGUCAUGAUUCAGGGUUUUGCAGAGAUUACCAAAGAAAGUAAACUCUCAACCCUCUCGGUGAAUGAGAAACUUUGCUGCAAUAUAUUCUUUUAUUAAAAUUAAAUAUAGCACAAAGCUUGCUAUCCUGAACUACAGGAAUUACCUGCUUUUGUAUGACCCUGAAAUAAAAUAGUUAAAUGAAACACAGGGGAAUGUAGAGAUUUUAAUAUGUGCUGUAGAAAAAGAACAUAUAUAAGCACCAAUGGGAUCAUUAUACUCAACACUCCAUAUAAAAGUUACAUAGUCCAUUGAACCCAACGGUCAUAAUCCAACAUGAGCAGGAAAAAGUUGUUUAAAAUGAAUCAUUUAAAAGACAAAGGAAUUUGCACUAAUAACUGAGAAUCUAGAUAAUCAAAGCUGCCCUUAGCCACCAUCACCCUUGCCGUCACCGCCUUGGAAAAAGCUUAAACUACCAUCCAGGCAAAAAACCCUCAAGUUGUUACAAACAGUAGAACAAAGCUCAUAUAUCAUUGGGUCCUGUCUCCUCAUAUCAGUAAGAAGCCUAGAGUCCACAUACAAGAAGCAAAGGCAAGACCUUUUCUCUUGUAUAGCAGUAACAGGAUGGCACCAAGCGCCACCAUUUCAAUUCAGUAGCUUCAAAGUGAAGCUCAGCUAUAGAAGGAAACUGGGCCAUCUAGAAUUGCAAAUAAGAAUGGGAUUUAAGAUUAUGGCAGUAGCAUUUUGAGAAACGCUUUGCACAAAAGGAUAUAAUUGGCUUCAAUUGUGGUGUUAAAACAAUCUAGACUAACACCCAAGUAAAUCCUAAAAUCUCUCAAAUGCUCAUGUUGUUGUGUGCAUAAUAAAUAAUAAAAUUUAUUAUUUAUUUAUGUAUAAAGAGAAGAAAAAGUAACUGAUUUAAGCAUUCAGGCUAAAUCCAGAUCUAAACUGUCAGAGAUUUAAUCAAAUAUUUCAUGCUAGCACUUAAUGCAGCGGAAAAAUGGAUAAGGAUAUUCAAUAAUCAGAACGGAAAGAGAAGUAAAAAUUGUAUCAAAACCCUAAACCUGGAACCAAAAAUCUAAAGAAGAGAGAAUCACCACCAACCAAAUGAGAAAAAGAUGGACGACUAGGAUCUUAUUUGGGGGAUUUAUCCUCCUUGGAGGACGAACCAUAUCGAGGAGGAGAAUAUAUCAGAGCCGCCAACAUAGUCCCUGGCAAAACCACGUACUUGGCCACC
rnacentral:misc_RNA from 1 species